rnacentral:tRNA from 1 species
AGCAGCGUGGCUCAGUGGAAAGAGCCUGGGCUUGGGAGCCAGAGGUCAUGAGUUCAAAUCCCUGCUCUGCCA